GGGUCUGUAGCUCAGCCGGGAGAGCGUUCGGUUCGCAACCGAAAGGUCGAGAGUUCGAUUCUCUUCAGAUCCACCA
rnacentral:tRNA from 1 species